rnacentral:snRNA from 1 species
GUGCUCGCUUUGGCAGCACAUAUACUAAAAUUGGAACGAUACAGAGAAGAUUAGCAUGGCCCCUGCACAAGGAUGACAUGCAAAUUCAUGAAGCGUUCCAUAUUUUU